UACAGAGGUCUCAAGCGUUGUUCGGAUUCAUUGGGCGUAAAGGGUGCGUAGGCGGUGAGGUAAGUCGGAUGUGAAAUCCCGGGGCUCAACCCCGGAACUGCAUUCGAUACUGCUUUACUUGAGGACUGGAGAGGAGAUUGGAAUUUACGGUGUAGCGGUGAAAUGCGUAGAUAUCGUAAGGAAGACCAGUGGCGAAGGCGGGUCUCUGGACAGUUCCUGACGCUGAGGCACGAAGGUCAGGGGAGCAAACGGG
rnacentral:rRNA from 1 species